AAAAUAGGCAACCGCUUGGCGUCGCUUUCGAGGAACAUUCUGUGGAACGGGCUGGUUUAAACCGGUCUGAUCCGGUAUUCGGGUUCCAGCUGUUUCACGGCGUUCCAAAAACACGACGACCGCACACAACAACAAAUAU
rnacentral:precursor_RNA from 10 species